rnacentral:tRNA from 1 species
GCACCCGUAGCUCAGCUGGAUAGAGCGUCUGACUACGGAUCAGAAGGUCGGGAGUUCGAAUCUUCCCGGGUGCGCCA